AUUGAACGCUGGCGGCAGGCCUAACACAUGCAAGUCGAGCGGAUGAAGGGAGCUUGCUCCUGGAUUCAGCGGCGGACGGGUGAGUAAUGCCUAGGAAUCUGCCUGGUAGUGGGGGAUAACGUCCGGAAACGGGCGCUAAUACCGCAUACGUCCUGAGGGAGAAAGUGGGGGAUCUUCGGACCUCACGCUAUCAGAUGAGCCUAGGUCGGAUUAGCUAGUUGGUGGGGUAAAGGCCUACCAAGGCGACGAUCCGUAACUGGUCUGAGAGGAUGAUCAGUCACACUGGAACUGAGACACGGUCCAGACUCCUACGGGAGGCAGCAGUAGGGAAUAUUGGACAAUGGGCGAAAGCCUGAUCCAGCCAUGCCGCGUGUGUGAAGAAGGUCUUCGGAUUGUAAAGCACUUUAAGUUGGGAGGAACGACAGUAAGUUAAUACCUUGCUGUUUUGACGUUACCAACAGAAUAAGCACCGGCUAACUUCGUG
rnacentral:rRNA from 1 species